rnacentral:misc_RNA from 1 species
GAUGAAGAACGUAGCGAAAUGCGAUAAGUAGUGUGAAUUGCAGAAUUCAGUGAAUCAUCGAAUCUUUGAACGCACAUUGCGCCCCAUGGUAUUCCGUGGGGCAUGCCUGUUCGAGCGUCAUUUACCCCCUCAAGCUCCGCUUGGUGUUGGGCGUCUGUCCCGCUUCGCGCGCGGACUCGCCCCAAAGGUAUUGGCAGCGGUCGUGCCAGCUUCUCGCGCAGCACAUUGCGCUUCUCGAGGCACCGGUGGGCCCGCGUCCAUCAAGCUCACCCCCCCAGUUUGACCUCGGAUCAGGUAGGGAUACCCGCUGAACUUAAGCAUAUAAUAAGCGGAGGA